rnacentral:rRNA from 1 species
UACGUAGGUGGCAAGCGUUGUCCGGAAUUAUUGGGCGUAAAGCGCGCGCAGGUGGUUUCUUAAGUCUGAUGUGAAAGCCCACGGCUCAACCGUGGAGGGUCAUUGGAAACUGGGGAACUUGAGUGCAGGAGAGAAGAGUGGAAUUCCACGUGUAGCGGUGAAAUGCGUAGAGAUGUGGAGGAACACCAGUGGCGAAGGCGGCUAUCUGGACGGUUACUGACGCUAAGACUCGAAAGCGUGGGGAGCAAACAGG